rnacentral:rRNA from 1 species
UACGGGGGGGGCAAGCGUUGUUCGGAAUUACUGGGCGUAAAGGGCUCGUAGGCGGCCAACUAAGUCAGACGUGAAAUCCCUCGGCUUAACCGGGGAACUGCGUCUGAUACUGGAUGGCUUGAGGUUGGGAGAGGGAUGCGGAAUUCCAGGUGUAGCGGUGAAAUGCGUAGAUAUCAGGAGGAACACCAAUAGCGAAGGCAGCUCGCUGGGACGUUACUGACACUGAGGCGCGAAAGCGUGGGGAGCGAACAGG